AGACAGAGGGUGCUAGCGUUGUUCGGAAUUACUGGGCGUAAAGGGCGCGUAGGUGGCACGGCAAGUCGGGUGUGAAAUCCCAUGGCUCAACCAUGGAACUGCAUUCGAUACUGCCGAGCUGGAGUUCGGGAGAGGGUGGUGGAAUUCCCAGUGUAGAAGUGAAAUUCGUAGAUAUUGGGAGGAACACCGGCUGCGAAAGCGACCUCCUGGCCCGGCAUUGACGCUGAGGUGCGAAAGUGUGGGGAGC
rnacentral:rRNA from 1 species